GGAAGAUAGAAAUGAUCAUAACUGACUAACUAGCUCCUUCAGAGCCUGGACUCUGGAGCCCAAGCUGCCUCGGUUCAAGUCUCAGCCCAGUCACUUCCCAGAUGUGCGACUCAGGACGGAGUCCUGCUCUGUCGCCCAGGCUGGAGUGCAAUGGUGCAAUCUUGGCUCACUGCAACCUCCGUCUCCCUGGUUCCAACAAUUCUCCUGCCUCAGCCUACCGAGUAGCUGGGAUUACAGGCGCCCAUCACCACGCCCGGCUAUUUUUUUUUUAUUUUUAGUAGAGACAGGGUUUCACCAUGUUGGCCAGGCUGGUCUCGAACUCCUGACCUCAGGUGAUCCACCCACUCGGCCUCCCAAACUGCUGGGAUUACAGGUGUGAGCCACCGUGCCUGGCCCUUCUUAAACACAUUUUUAAAAACUUUUUCUUUUUUGAAAAGAUAACACAAGACAAAGAUACAAAACGACAUACUAAAACAGUCAACCUCCUAUGGAUAAAUUACAGUGUAUUUGCAAUGGAAUUCUACACACUUAAGCAAACAAAAAUGAACUAUUGAUGUAGGCAACAACGUGGAUGGAUAUCACAAAUAUGCUGAGCGAAAGGUGCCAGCCAGACACAAGAGUACAGACCAUAUGACCCCUGCAUAUGACCUUAAAGAACAGGCAAAACUAAUCUUUGGUGACAGAAGUCGGAAUUGUGGUUACCUAAGUGAGGGAUGACUCAUUGGGAGGAUAAAAUGUUUUAUUGUUCUAAUGGUGGAAAGAGGGGUGUAGAUGUAUGCACUAAGCUGCAGUGUGAAAAUUUGUGUAUUUUAUUCUAUGUAUAGAAUAAUAACAAAGUCUCCUUUCCACUACUAUGGCUCCCAGCUACCUCCCCGGAGGCCACUCUUCCAGUGAGGAUUUCUUAGUGCCCCGUUUCUGUCACGACCUUCAUGCCAGGGGCAGAGUCCUGGGAGCAUGCCAGGGAGACACCAGAGGCCAAGGCUGCUCCAUGGCGCAGCUGCACUGGGCCAUGGCUUGUGGGCCUGACAGGGAGUGGGGCUUCGGGCCAGCGUCUCGGCCGGACGCAGGGACUUCAGAAGAGGCAAAUACAAAGCUCCGCAUGGCAGAGGAACAGAGGGGCGCGG
rnacentral:lncRNA from 1 species